rnacentral:rRNA from 1 species
UACGUAGGUGGCAAGCGUUAUCCGGAUUUACUGGGUGUAAAGGGCGAGUAGGCGGGAUUGCAAGUCAGAUGUGAGAACUAUGGGCUCAACCGAUAGAGUGCAUUUGAAACUGCAGUUCUUGAGUGAUGGAGAGGCAGGCGGAAUUCCCGGUGUAGCGGUGGAAUGCGUAGAUAUCGGGAGGAACACCAGUGGCGAAGGCGGCCUGCUGGACAUUAACUGACGCUGAGGCGCGAAAGCGUGGGGAGCAAACAGG